GUGGGGGAUAUUGCACAAUGGAGGAAACUCUGAUGCAGCGACGCCGCGUGAGUGAAGAAGUAUUUCGGUAUGUAAAGCUCUAUCAGCAGGGAAGAUAAUGACAGUACCUGACUAAGAAGCCCCGGCUAACUACGUGCCAGCAGCCGCGGUAAUACGUAGGGGGCAAGCGUUAUCCGGAUUUACUGGGUGUAAAGGGAGCGUAGACGGAAUGGCAAGUCUGAAGUGAAAUCCUGCGGCUUAACUGCAGAAUUGCUUUGGAAACUGUCAAUCUGGAGUGUUGGAGAGGUAAGCGGAAUUCCUGGUGUAGCGGUGAAAUGCGUAGAUAUCAGGAAGAACACCGGAGGCGAAGGCGGCUUACUGGACAAUAACUGACGUUGAGGCUCGAAAGCGUGGGAAGCAAACAGGAUUAGAUACCCUGGUAGUCC
rnacentral:rRNA from 1 species